rnacentral:lncRNA from 1 species
AGGGAUCCCUUACUUUCUUAAAAUGAGGGACUUUUUUUUUUUGCUUUUUUUUUUUAAAACAACUAAAAAAAAAGUUUAAUAUUUUAUGGAACUGAAAUUUUUUCAUAAUACAGUGUUUUGGGUGUGAUUUGGGUACGUAUAACAAAACAUGUAUGUACAGUCUGGGCAGACUGUACCACCACUUUUUGGUAUAGGUAUUCAAAAC